rnacentral:lncRNA from 1 species
UGCCUUUCCUCGUCAUUCAUAUGGGCUCUUGCUGCUCUGCAAGAGCUUGAUUGGGUCAUUGGGAUUCACAUUUCACACCAUUGAAACAUCUUGAGGAUCAUAGAGGAUCUUUGCGCUCAUAUCCUCAUUUGGGUGGACCAUUUCAAAACUUAGAUGAAGCUUACAAUGGUAAUGAUUGCUAUCGUCAUGACCAAUUGUGAUCCAACAAUGUUAGUUUUUCAAGUUCUCUAGAUUUCCAUUCAUCCAUUUAUCCUGUUUUCUGUGCACACUUGCAAUUGAUUAUAUUUAAAAGGAGUUAAGCAGGCACAUGCUUCUAUGAUGUAGGCCACACAAGAUAAUCAAAUGAACCAGUUAAAAGGCGAAUGGCUCUAAAUCUAUAUUUAGAUGUCUAUUGCAGUUUGAAGCUGAGAUUUCUGUACCUGGUAUUGGCAUGUUCUUCUGCGGUACGGUUUCAUACUGUCUCUAUGUUUUUUUCUAUUUCUAAGUUUUUCAUGUUUUCUAACGAAAAGGGCCUUACUCUGGUUACCAGUUUACUGGUAAGCUGAAGUUCCAACCCCAACAAGGCUAGAGAAGCGAGGAUUGCAGAGUUGUGUCCUGCUUCCUCGGGUUGAGAAGCUGGAGAUGGUGGCUCAGGACGCAGCCAACUCGUCUUGUACUCUGCUGUCACUUUCCCUGAUCAAGUGCUCGUCCCUAGGGCAUAGGGUAUGCAUACUUUGUCGACAUGCUCAUCCUCUAAUUUGAUCGGUACUCUCUUUGGGCCUCCUGUUUGAGCUCUCUCGCUUGCUUGUAGACCGUGUAGAAUUGGGGCAGAUUUUGAGGUAUGCUGCUCAUAUUGUGCUAGAGUGCUACUUAUCGUCUGAUUGUACCUUCUAGGACGAUGGAAAUCUUGGUGUAAUUUGGCACAUGCCGGGUUGUAGGUAGGCUACUCUGGCAUGUAAUGGUAGAGGGCUGAAACUUUCAAAACUGAACUCCCUACUUGAAGGACAGGAGUGAGUAGUUUCAGUUUUUUAAAAGUUCCCUUUGAUGAAAGUUCAUCACCAUCCAGCUGAAAGCACAAUUUGAAAGUUUAAACAUACAAUUGAAUGCCGGGUAAGGUCUGGAGGGGUGGUGUUCACUGCGUGAGAAAUCAUCACAUACUGUGAAAUAGAUGUUCAUAUACCUGUGUUAUACAUAUGAAUGAUGAGUUAAUAACCGUGUACUGCUCAACAUUAG